rnacentral:rRNA from 1 species
CUCCUUUGACGUUAGCGGCGGACGGGUGAGUAACACGUGGGUAACCUACCUAUAAGACUGGGAUAACUUCGGGAAACCGGAGCUAAUACCGGAUAAUAUUUCGAACCGCAUGGUUCGAUAGUGAAAGGUGGUUUUGCUAUCACUUAUAGAUGGACCCGCGCCGUAUUAGCUAGUCGGUAAGGUAACGGCUUACCAAGGCGACGAUACGUAGCCGACCUGAGAGGGUGAUCGGCCACACUGGAACUGAGACACGGUCCAGACUCCUACGGGAGGCAGCAGUA